AUGGGGAAGAUGGCGGCCGUCGUGGGUCCUGUGGUGACGCUGGCGACAGAGCCCGGAGAGGACGCCUUUCGGAAACUUUUCCGCUUCUACAGGCAGAGCCGGCCCGGGACUGCAGACUUGGGUGGGGUCAUCGACUUCUCGGCAGCCCGCGGCACGGGUCCUAGUGCCUCCAAGGUGGUCAGAUCUCAGCUCAGUGUGUCCUCAGUCAGUGAGCACAAUGCACGCAGAGCAGGACUUCAGCCAGUCAGCAAGUGGCGAGCUUAUGGACUUGAAGGCUAUCCUGGAUUUAUUUUUAUCCCAAACCCCUUCCUCCCAGGGUACCAAUGGCACUGGGUGAAGCAGUGCCUUAAGUUAUACUCCCAGAAACCUAAUGUAUGUAACCUGGACAAGCAUAUGACUGAACAAGAGAUCCAAGAUGUGUGGGAACAGAGCAAAGAGUUUCUAAGGAGUAAAGAAAUGAACAAACGACGACAACGAAGUUUACUAGAGAAACUGCGCUGGGUGACCUUAGGAUACCAUUAUAACUGGGACAGCAAGAAAUACUCAGCAGAUCAUUAUACACCUUUCCCUUCUGACCUGGCUUUCCUCUCAGAGCAAGUAGCUGCUGCCUGUGGGUUUCAGGGUUUCCGAGCUGAAGCAGGGAUCCUGAAUUACUACCGCCUAGACUCCACCCUGGGAAUUCACGUAGACAAGUCUGAGCUAGAUCAUUCCAAACCCCUGCUAUCCUUCAGUUUUGGACAGUCUGCCAUCUUUCUCCUUGGAGGUCUCAAAAGAGAUGAAGCCCCCACAGCCAUGUUUAUGCACAGUGGUGACAUAAUGGUCAUGUCGGGCUUCAGUCGUCUGUUAAACCAUGCAGUCCCUCGAGUGCUUCCAAACCCUGAAGGAGAAGGCCUGCCUCAUUGCCUAGACACACUUCUCCCAGUUGUCCUUCCCGGGGAUUCAGUGGUGGAGCCCUGUUCUCUGGAGGACUGGCAGGUGUGUGCCAGCUACUUGAAAACUGCUCGUGUUAACAUGACUGUCCGACAAGUACUAGCCACAGACCAGGACUUCCCUCUGGAACACAUGGAGGAGAAAAAGAGAGACAUCACCACAGGUUUCUGCCAUUUGAAUGACCAAGAUAGCCAAGUAAAACGGGCCAGGUUAAGCCCUGACAGCUGAGACUUGGAGGUCUCAUUCUUCCACUCUGGCAGGUCUAUAGUGAUCACGGACUCUAGCACCAAGACAGACAGGGAAGAAUGAAUUGUUUUGGAAUAUAUCCUGAAGAAUAAAUAUUACGGUGUGCUCAGAGAAGUAUUUGACUGAGUCUGGUUCUAGACAGAUGUUGGCAGUGACAUGUGUUGGUCAUCUAAAGGAGAUAGGAUCGUCCACAUAUGCCUUUCAGACUCUGCCAUUACCUCUGAGAGAGGUAGAGGGCGAAACCCUGACAAGAGACCUUGGUGGUUCACUGAACCUAAAAGAUAAUGACCUGGCCUCUGAUAGAGGAAGUGACUCCUGGGAAAGAAGGGGCACUCAAAGAAAGGAUCCUGGAGACAAACCUGAAACCAAGAAAGGACCAAAGGGAAAGUGUUCUUUUUGUGUGCGUGUGCCAGUCUUGGGCUUGAACUCGGAGCCUGUGCACUGUCACUGAGCUAGGGUUUUUUUGGUUUGUU